UCCAUUCACAGUAGACAAAUCAAACGAGAUAAACCUAGCAUUCCUCACCCUUCUUCUCCGUCAACAGGCUACUUCUUCUUCUCCUUUCCUCACCCACAGCACCACUGCCGGCCACCCUAACCGCCACAGCUACCUUCUCCUUCUUCUCCUCUUUUUUAAACACUGAACCAGUAGAACACAGCCCCUGUCUCUCUCGUUCUUUCUUGUUCCCAGAACAAAGCAAGCUCAAGCUCCACCACCACCGCCCCUCAAGCUCGCAUAUCUUCUCAGCGCUACAGCCAUCAUCUCCUCUAGUCAAUGCCGCAGCUACCUUCGCGCAAGCUCUAGCUUCUCAAAUUCAUUCCUAUAUCUUCUCCUUCCUUUACUUCCCUCUCUUCAAGUUUCAAAGGCAACGCGAACGCAACCAUGGCAAAUGCAGCUUCUGGAAUGGCGGUCCAUAAUGACUGCAAGUUGCAGUUUUUGGAGCUCAAGACAAAAAGGACUCACAGGUUCAUAGUUUUCAAGAUUGAGGAGAAUCAAAAACAAGUCAUUGUGGAGAAGCUUGGUGAGCCAGCUCAAGGCUACGAAGAUUUUGCUGCUUGCCUCCCUCCUAAUGAGUGCCACUAUGCUAUAUAUGAUUUCGAGUUCUUGACCGAAGGCUAUGUCCCCAAGAGCAGGAUUUUCUUCAUUGCUUGUUUUGUACAGGAAUAUGAUCCCUAGUAACUUUAUUAUGAAUACAUCUAAUGUGAUGGCUAGUUUGGCCACAGAUCUGCUGGGAUCAGCAUCAAAGACAGAAAACACCAAUUUUCUUGAAUCCGCUUUCUUUUCAGGCCUUCCUGUUUAUUAUCUACAAAAGCAAUACACAGAGAACUCUACAUUUUACUUUCCACUCCAGAUAGAAUCCUAUAGUAUACAGCAAGGUUAUACGGUAUUCAGAUACAGAUGUUGCUGAAUAUCUAUAUAAUUCGAAGCCUGAUGCCGAUUCAUUGUACACAUAUCUCUGCAAAGACCUUACUAAAGCAUGCAGCACCAAGGCACCCCCUGUCCCUAAGAUAGAAGAAGGGAGAGCAGUUGUGGUGUUGUGGUCUCCUGGAGCUGGUAUCAGAAGUGAGUAGUGGUAUCAGAGUUGUUGGUGAUGUUGGCGGCGAUGAAGGAUGAGGAGGGGGAUCGAAGUGGGAAUGGAGUGAUUUGGAGAAAUCGAGGUUGUUAGGGGAAGGGCGCCUCCUCCUUGGCUUGGUACCAAGAAAAGAAGGGAAGUUCCAUUGCUCCUCUGAUACGUAUCAAUGACAUACAUUAUGUUGCUGAUUCUGAUACGUAUGUUCCUGCAGGGGACACAGAGUUUGCUAAAGAUGCUGCCUUUCGCUACAAAUCUUCGACUCUGCGUGAUGCAAAAGCCUCUUUGUUCCUUUUUAUUACUGGAUUGUGCUGACUUUUUUUUUAUAUUGGCAUAGAAUAAAUUUUUUAAAAGAUAUUUAUCCAAUUAGUGGGUAGAAGAGAAGACUAGUGGUCAAAUACCUGCAUCCACUGUUGCUUCUGCUUCCAUUGAACUUUUGAGGAAAGGAGGACUAGAUGCAGUUUGCCAGCACCUAUGUAGUCUGAAAAAGGGUUCAGCAUGUGUAGUUAAUGCAGCUAGUGAAAGAGACAUGGCUGUAUUUGCAUUUGGAAUGAUCAAGGUUAAUCGCGUAAUCGUACUGGACUGUAGCUGUUGUUGACCUAGGUUUGUGUCUGGAUUCAAAUUAUUCAUAUAUAUUAGCGUUUAUUGACAAAGAUGUUACUGAUUAUUACUUCGGAGUAUAAUGUUUGAAGCUUGAAAGGUGAAUAUUGUUUAUGUUUAUGUUUAGUUCUGCAAUACAUUCUGUUGUUUUUAUUUUCUAAUGUGAUAGCUUUGUGUAGUAAAAGAUAUCAAAUUAUCAAUGAGGUUUUAUGAUAAGCAUUACAAUGCUGCUGGAAAGCUACCGGAUUAUGGAGCGAUAUUUUUGUCAAAUAGUGCAACGAAGAAGGAAUGUUUUAAUAAGGGACUUUUCGGUCUCCCUUCAUCUGCAAUUCACUUUGUAGAGCAGAUUAAGGCUGGCACGAUUCUGUUUCUAUUUGAAUAUGAGAAGAGACAACUUCAUAGGGUGUUCAAGGCUGCCAGUGAUGGUGGUAUGAAUAUCGUGCCUAAUGCCUUUAGUUCGUUGAGGACUCAAUUUCCUGCUCAGCUGCCUCUGAAAGUUUGUACAUUAAUUUUAAAGUGAGCUCUGCUUUGGUGGAAAUAGUGAAAAGAAUAACUACAAACCUCGCUAUAUACUCGCAAAGGUGUUUAAAGGACCUAGUCAACCUGCAUUUUGAUAUUUGAUUUGUUUGGCGCAAAGCACAAUGUGAUACUUGGUUUCGAAGAGUUUGCUUGUGCUCUCUCAGUUUUCCAGUUUGCAUAUCAGCAUUAGGGUUCUUAUAGUAGUUCACUUGGAUCAGCAGUUUGCCCUUUUUAUUGCUCCUAUUCUGGUUUCAUGGAUGAGCUACUGUGGGACCUGCAUGGCUUUUCAGAGCAACAAAUACUGUCACUUUCUUGAAGGUAAAUAAAGCUGGACACUUAGUUCCUAUGGACCAACUAGAAGUUGCACUUGACUUGCUCACAAGAUGGACGCAAGGAAAAAUAAAUUAAGUGAAGCCCUCGUCACAAAAUCAAUUCAAAUCAAAAUAAAUUUAUAAAUGAUUAUCUCUUGUAUGUUAGAAAUAUAUACUAAUGAUAUUGGACUAGUUAGAGGAGAUUACUAAAUGUCUUUGUUCUUGAUACAUUGUCAAAACCAAACAUCAUGUUUGAUUCUAUUCCUAAUAUCAAAUAUUAGUUAUUUUGAAAUACUAUGAAUGUUUGGAUACAA